GAAUAGUUUACCUCCUUCUUGACAGACUCUUCCUUUUCAGAUAAUGUCAACUCAACAUGGCAGGGGUGAGACAUGUAGGCUGCAGAGGGUCAACAGGUUAGGAUCAAGAUAUCAAUGACUAGACACGAGCCAGUAAGAAAUAAGAGCUCUUACGGUUUAUUCUUCCAUGAGCUCGGUACGUGCGGCGCCUCUGUUUUUGUGCUUGGUUCACUUGGAUGUGAGAUAUGAAAAGUGAAUCCACAUCCAAAGCUGCAAAGGGUCAUCAGGUUAGGAUCAAGAUAUCAGUGACUAGACACAAGAGCCAGUAAGAAAAUAAGAGCUCUUACGGUUUAUUCUUCCAUGAGCACGGUAAGUACGGCGCCUCUGUUUUUGUGCUUGGUUCACUUGGAUGUGAGAUAUGAAAAGUGAAUCCACA
rnacentral:lncRNA from 1 species